rnacentral:rRNA from 1 species
GAUGAACGCUGGCGGCGUGCUUAACACAUGCAAGUCGAACGAAGCACUGCAAAAGAAGUUUUCGGACAGUAUUUUGCUUUGACUUAGUGGCGGACGGGUGAGUAACGCGUGGGUAACCUGCCGUAUGCGAGGGGGACAACAGUUGGAAACGACUGCUAAUACCGCAUAAGCGCACGGUAUCGCAUGAUACAGUGUAGAAAAGAAUUAUCGGCAUACGAUGGACCCGCGUUGGAUUAGGCAGUUGGCGGGGUAACGGCCCACCAAACCGACGAUCCAUAGCCGGCCUGAGAGGGUGAACGGCCACAUUGGGACUGAGACACGGCCCAAACUCC